rnacentral:rRNA from 1 species
GAUGAACGCUGGCGGCGUGCCUAAUACAUGCAAGUCGAGCGAACAGAUGAGGAGCUUGCUCCUCUGACGUUAGCGGCGGACGGGUGAGUAACACGUGGAUAACCUACCUAUAAGACUGGGAUAACUUCGGGAAACCGGAGCUAAUACCGGAUAAUAUAUUGAACCGCAUGGUUCAAUAGUGAAAGACGGUUUUGCUGUCACUUGUAGAUGGAUCCGCGCCGCAUUAGCUAGUUGGUAAGGUAACGGCUUACCAAGGCAACGAUGCGUAGCCGACCUGAGAGGGUGAUCGGCCACACUGGAACUGAGACACGGUCCAGAUUCCUACGGGAGGCAGCAGUAGGGAAUCUUCCGCAAUGGGCGAAAGCCUGACGGAGCAACGCCGCGUGAGUGAUGAAGGUCUUCGGAUCGUAAAACUCUGUUAUUAGGGAAGAACAAAUGUGUAAGUAACUAUGCACGUCUUGACGGUACCUAAUCAGAAAGCCACGGCUAACUACGUG